rfam:Brachypodium distachyon strain Bd21 chromosome 1, whole genome shotgun sequence.
AAAAUACUCCCUCCAACCCAUAUUACUUGUCAAAAGAUAACAUGUAUCUAGAUGCUUUUUUUAACAUAAAUACAUUCAUAUUUGCGCAAAUCUGAGACAAGUAAUAUGGGUUGGAGGGAGUAAUAC